CAGCUGCUCCCCUCAAUUUUGCCAAGUACAAAAAACAAUUACCAAAAAAGUUCUUGAGCAGCUAAUAAUGGAUUCAACACCAAUUCUCGUUAUGAAGGGGGAAUCUUUGAAUGAUUCCACUGCAUCAUAUACAGUCUUAAUUGAACAUGGAGAAUGCAUCUACCUAACGAAUGCAUUGCCAGGACUUUUAAUCGUUUUCCUUGCGUAUUUUGUUUUUGGACUCAAAUACCCUCAUGAAUUGGACACAACUUUAGAGUUUUUUCAGAGAGUAUUCUUGGACAUCAACCCACCUGUGGGGAAGAAAAUGAUUAAAGGGGCCAAAGCACGCGCGACCUCUUUCAAUCCGGCAGUGAGAAAAUUGAGCAUUGCCAUCGAGAAAUUCCCGAUAUUUUUUACAAAAACUCACUCCAGAGUAUAAUCUUUUAAAUUUAUUUUGAUAUCAUUUCCUUUCACGAGCUAUAU